UCGUGUCCGUUGUUGCAGCCACUGUGUAUUCUGAGCGCCUUUUAGUCUAGGAGACUCAUCUUCCAGCCCUGUAUCGGACAGUGUUCUGUUGUGACCGUAGGGCUUUCAUUGGCUAGUUUUCAGAAGCAGAUCACUAGGGCUUUCUUGCUAGUCUGUCUUAGUCUGAAAGCUCUGCUGAAACCUGUCCACUGUGGAUGACCCUGCUGGUAUUUGAAAUACCAGUGGCAUAGUUUCCAGCAUCAUAGCAACAUGAAAGCCACCAUGAUAUGACAAACUGACCGAUGAGGAAGUCGGUAUUCAGAGACGUUAAAUGACUUACCUGAAUGGCAGAAUAGAGGCUACAGCUGGAAUCUUUUUAGUCCUACUACAACUUGCAGCCCCUGCGGGACCAUUAUGUAUGCUUUGCAAAUACGUGGCAUGCAGCUGGUGUGGAGCUCAGUGAGGACUGAAUCUGCUCGAGCUUUGUCACCUUCAUAGUUGAAUCUAGUCAUGUUUCCUUAUGUACAGCAAAGGAAACAUUUGUCUCAGCAAAGCCGACUUUUCCUUGUGAUUCCCUAUGGCUAAUUGUAGAUAUUCCUGUAAAAACCAUUCUGAUAACUAUGCACUUGGAUAUUUAAAAAUGUAAUCAAAAUACACUCUUUUUAAAGAGAGAGGUAUGCCUCUGAGGCUUUCCAGUCAGCUUCUUGUAAGUUUAACUAUUUUCCUAUUGAUUUACAUUCUAACCCCAGUUGUAUUGGGAAUUUUUGAUCUUCAUUUGUCAGGAGUACCUUUUAGCUUUUGUUUCUUUCGUAAGGCUUGUCUGUUAGGUAUUUAAUGAAAAACCACAUAAGUGCACCCAGGAGUUUUAAGGGAAAGAAUUAAGUCUUUUGUAAUACGGAAAGAAUUAAGUCUUUUGUAAUACCAUGAUCCUAUAAUUUAUCUGUUUAACAAAAUGAUAUGCUGUGUGCCCUAAUUUUUAAAUGAACAGGUGAUUACCGUUAUAACAUACGUUACCGUUAAUGCGUGUUCUCUUUCCCGGUUCUACUUACAGGUGCUUUGCUUACAGUUUAUCCCUAGUCAUGAUCAACAACUGGACACAUUCGGUGUAAGCUAUCAUGAUGUACACAAAGUCCUUCGGUGGCCCCUAAUUGUCUUGAAUGUAUUUGAAGCCCAUUUCUCAUUCAGUUGGCAGUUGACUUUCUCCUGGUUUCUCCUUCUAAAGUAAGGAGAAAAGGAUAUCGCAAAUUUUAACGUGUGUAAAGCUGACAACGCAGGUUACCACGUAGCUGGAGAUGAAGUUUUGACAUUUCCAUGAGUCACCUGCCAUUCAAUAAUAUGUUUCAGGAAGUCGUUUAGAGAUAUGUGGGUUGAUCAUUAGCAAAUACAUUUUUACCUCUAACUGGCUGCCUUUUUGAAGCUGCUUUGAAAGUCUGUUUUCUAAAUUUGGAAGGAUCUGUGUAUUUGAGCCUUGAAAAAGACAGUCUCUUAGCAACAUGUUUAAGGACCUGGAGAAACAAAUUAAGUAAGAAGUAUGAUGAUCUGUGUAUGUUCUCACUGUUUCGGAAACCAUCCUAAAGGUAGAUAUUUUUAAGGCAGUUUAUUACUUUUGAUAAAAUUAACUAAAAAGCAACAAAAGCAUAAGUUCUGUGUUUUUCCUCCUUGGCGCCUUUUUUCCUUUGUCUCCCCAGACUGUACAUUUUUGCUCCCUUGGAAAACAUACGUGGGCAUUCAUAAUUAAGAAUUAAUUAAGGGAGUCAGCGUGGAGGACUUUCUGCUCCAUACUUAAUUAGCUUAGAAAACAUUGCCUUGAUAAGCAGAUGGAUCGUUUUUAAAGAGAAAACAGUUCACCCUCCUUUUAGACCUCUAUAAUAAUUCAUUUAAUUAACCUUGGAAGCAUUCUGUAUCUCUUAUGAAUUCCUAGAUACGGAAAUGCAGGAAUGUUUACUGCCCCAUUUUGUGUGUUGUAGCUUAGUUCCUUUGGUUGUGAGGAAUAGUGGCUCUCCAGAUACCCUAGUGGGUGUGGAUGGGGGGCCUUAUUAUAGUGAAGCUGUUACCCAGGCUGGGAUGGGAAAUUCUACAGAAACCACCUGUGUUCUAGGCUAGGGAUCAGUUCCUGUCCAGCAGGUCACAUAUGCUGUUUCUCUCUGUGUAUUUGCUGUUUUCUUCGGUUGCAAUAGACUGGUUUCCCCACUUCCUUAUGCAGCUUCACCUUUACAGUAGCCCUUCAUGGCAGCUCAGGAUGCAUCUCCAGAAUUCACUCCUUUUUCUGGUUCAGUUCCCGCUGCUAAUUGGCAAAGUCUUCCAGUGUUUCUUGGCUUAGAUUCUUAAAAGAGAUAAUCUGCUUGCCCCAGCUUAAAAUUUUGAGCCAGGCCACAAAGAUUGCCACACUGAGGUUUAGCUGUCCUUCAUUUGGGAUCCCGCCCAAGUCCAGCUGUGUAAGUUGGGUAGAUACAAGGUAUGUCCAUGGAUGCUGCAGCUGGGCUGAGAGCAAGGCAGUAUUCUUACAGGGUAUGGACACCUGCCUGAUGCAUCAUAAUAUAUUGUAUGUAUUAGGUUGAUCUAAAGGUUGGCAGUUCAAGUCCACCCAGAAGCACCUUGGCAGGAAGACCUGAAGAUUCACUCUCAAAAAUCGGCCGUUGAAAACCCUGUGGAGCAUACUUCUACUCUGACACACAUGGGGUCACCAUGAGUCAGAAUCAACUCAAUGGCAACUUUUUUUUUUUUUAGGCUCCCUUGACUGUUUCCAUGUUGGAUUUAUCCACCAAAUUCAUUAAGAAGUGUUUCUACAAGAUUUGGGUUUGGUUUUUCAUUUAUCUGUUCUAAUGUAGCACAGUAACAUUUAAAUCACCUCAUUAAUACUUCUUGCCUAAGGCUGUUGAUAUAGUGGUGUGGACUGCAAAGUGGUAUGGUUUUAUUUUAGUUGCUUUUUAUAAUGGGGGAGAGGUAGAAAAAAAAAACAGUUUUUUGUUUUUAAAAGUACUUGGAAGCAAAGAUCGUUGGAAUAAUUAGCCAGUACCUCACAUUAUCUAAAUGAGCUAGUUUGUGAAACUGAGAGAAAACGGGCCUUUGUUAUCAGAGGUAGUUGAUAAUAGAAAUGCCUUUCCCUGGACCAGUGAUUCUAACUUUAAUAUGCAUCAGAAUCACCUGUACCUGUUACCCAUUGCCCUUGAGUUGAUUCUGACUCAUAGUGACUCUAUAGGACAGAAUAGAACUGUCCCCUAGGGUUCCCAAGGAGUGGCUGGUAGAUUCGAACUGCCAACCUUUUGGUUACCAGAUGAGCUCUUACCCACUAUACCACCAGGGCUCCAAGAAUCACUUGUAGGGCUUGUUAAACUAUCAUUUCCUGGUGCCACCGCAUAGUUUCUAAUUAAGUUGGUCUGGGGUGGGGCACUAUAAUCUGCAUUUCUAAUAAGCUGCCUGGUGAUGCUGUUACUGCUGGACUGAACACUGCACUCAGCCUUCAAAUUUAGAAACCUUGGACAAGGCUGUUAACUGGACUUACCUUUUCAGGUUCGCCUUUCCAAGAUGAACCACCUCUUCCAUUGAAUUAUGUGUAAAAAUCACAUUAAAGGCAUUUUCUCCUUAAUUCUGCCUGGAACUUUUAGCUUGCCUUUGCUUCUAUGUUCAGUAAAUAUUUAGUGCCUCUUGUAUACCAAGCAGGGGCUCUGGGGGCACAGUGGUGAAGAGCUGUGGAUGCUUACCAAAAGGUUGGCAGUUUGAAUCCACCAGCUGCUCCUUGGAAAUGCUGUGGGGCAGUUCUACUCUGUCCUGUAGGGUCGCUAUGAGUCAGAAUUGACUCAAUGGCAAUGCGUUUGGUUUUGGUUUUUGGGUAUACCAGGCAUAGUGCUAGGUCCUGGUGGAGUUAAGAAAGACACUUAAUGGAACUGCACAGGAGACACGCAGAUACACAUACGGGGUAUUGGCUGAAACACAAAAUAACAAAUGGAGUUUCUUGUAUCUUAUUUCCCUUCUUAAGAUCCUAUGCGCUGGAGAAAGAUGUGGCAGUCUGCUCCCCUAUUGGGCAGUUCUUCUCUGCCCUAUAGGGUCCACUGUGAAUCCAAAUCAACUCGAUAGCGAUGGGUUUGGUUUGGUUUGGUUGGGGAAGAUCCUGUGCUGGCUGCCCUCCCAUACUGAAGAUAAGAGAUGAAUAACUGGACUUGUGAAGAUUAUUGAAUCCUGACUGAAUGGAACAGGAAAUUUACCAUCACUCUUGGCUUGCUCCCAACCACAGAUGUGAUAACCUUGCCUUCUUUUUCAUCAGACAAGUCACAGAUCAUGUACUUCAGGCGAGAGCUGAGUGAAGAGCUCUUUGGCAGAUCAUGAGUCGAGUCAGUCCUUCCAGUUGGACUUUGAGCCAUUCACCAGCCCAUUUUGGAUAUGGUCAUUAUUAAUUUGCCAGUUGUUCCAUCCGUUUACAGUCUAUUUCUGAAAAUCAGCCAGUGAAAACCCCAUGGAUCACAAUGGACUGAUCUACAACCGAUCGUAAGAGUGGCGCAGGACAGGGCAGCCUUUCCUCCUGUUCUGCAUCUGGUUGCCAUGAGUCGGGGGCCAGCUCAGUAGCAACAAAUUUGCCAUCUAGUCACUAAGAAUGUGAUGAGAACCUUCUCAGAUAUCAUAGUGAAAUCCAGUUCUCUGUGAUCCCUUCCUUAAGUUUACCAAUAGUGUAUCAACAAUAAAAUUUUUAAUUUGUUGGAAUAAAUGGUAAAACCAUGCUAGGUGACUGGAACCUAUUUUAAACCCGCUAACUGCUCUUUUACAAUCUUUUUAUUCAUCUUUACACCUUCUAAAUGUUCUUUUAUACUUUUUGGUCUCUACAAGAUUUUCUUAAGCCAAAUAUAGCUUCAAUCCGUCCCAAGCAGCAGAAAUGCCUCUUCCUUGAUUUGCUAUAUAAAAAUAUUCAUGCUAUUUUAACAAAAAAGCCCACCCCUAAAAGCCUAAUUUUGUUGUCUGUGCAAUAUCUGUAACCCCCAAUUCCCUCUGGGUUUUGGAUUACUGACUGAACAUAUUGGUCCGCGCCAUCCAUCCACUUAUACCGGUUGCCAUCAAGUCGAUUCUGACUCAUCAUCAGGUCGAUUCUGACCCAUCGUCUUGUAGUCAUCCUAAAUGCAUUCUCUUCGGGGAAUUUGCCUUUGUUUGGUUCUGUGCCUUUAUAACUUUCAGCAUGACCUUUUAAGAUCUGAGCAGCUUCAUUGGUUUCCAUAGCAACACUUGCUUCUCAUUAGGAUUUUUUUCUUUUUUAUGAUUGCAUAGUCAGAGCUUCUACAUCUCAUGAAUACUCUUUUGGUUUAGAAUUUGAUGCCCAGAACUACGUUCAUGUUGUCUGAGAAUUCCCAUUGUGUGUUUCACCGCGCAUUGGUUGUGUGAACCGAAAUAGCUGCUUCUGAGAAAGAAACAAUAAGCCUUCUCCCAGGCUUGAAUCCCUGUAUAAAAUACAUAAGAGGGUCCCUUUUAUGCUUGGGAGCUGAAUGGCUAUCACCUGUCCUGUGGCCAGUGCCUGUAGAGGCUUGCCCUGGCUUAUAGGACCCUGGCCGUUUUGCAGAAGAGAGUCACCAGAAUAGCUGGAAUUUGCCUGUGAGCUUUUGUGCCUCUUCCCCUCCUCCUAUAUGUUCUCAUCUUGUAGAAAUCCAAGGGCGAAUGUACAAGUGUUACAUGAUUCAGUAUUGGGACUGAAUUCAGUUUAUUCUUUUUUCUUAACAUGAAAGCACAGAAGCUAUAUAAACAUGUCCAUGCUGUUCUUAAGGUAACAUUGUCAUCUUAACUUUCUUUAAAAGAAGAAGACAUUUGAAAGCAUGGCUACACAGAUGACAAUAUGUAUCACUUUUGGUCUUGGGCCUUCCUAAAGAAGGAAUAAUCUGAAUUUAGGAAAUGGUUCUUGGCAGUCUUGAGUCGGCUGUGUCCCAGUUUACCGGGUCCCAAAUUUUUUUAAGUCUUGAUAAUAGCUUAGAAAGGUUUUUGCAGUAGUGUUUGGGGUGUGCCUUCAAUAUUUGGCACAAAGUAAUAUGGAAGCAGUUGACCAUAUAAAAGGUAGCCAGCUGCCACAACCUCCUGGACAACCUAAACAUGUCUGCACUUUACAUUCAUGUCGUGCUUUUAAAAUUUGUUUGAGUUUAAAAUGUUAAGGGUAUAUACUUAGAACAUCAGGUAGUGGUGAUCCAGGUCCCCAGACCUUUGAAUUAGCCCAGCCCACCUUCAUUCUCCUUUCGUAGUCACUUCCCCCCAUUUGUGUUGCCAUCACCCUGUACUAGCCAUCCUUUUGGCUGAAAUACUGUCACAGUCUACGUGGGCUCCCCACUAUAAUUCGUGUCUCCUUCCAGUUAAUUUUCAAUGCUGGACAGCAGCCAAAAUGAGCUUCUAAAAUACAAGCUAGGUUAUAUCAUUCCCUUGCUUAAAACCCUUCAGUGGCUUCCAAUUGCAUUUGGAAUAAAAACCAAAAUUAUAAAAAAUCUAGAAGGAGGCCCAUAAUCUGCCUGUGAGAUGACUCCAGCUGUAUCUCUUCGCACAGAGCUCCUUUCCCACAGUAUUUUCUGCCUCAGGGCCUUUGUACAUAUAUGUCUCUCUUUGCCUACUUUCACUCCUCUCUCCCUGCUUACCUGACUGACCUCCUGCCUCAGCUUAAAUGUGACUCCUUUAGAGAAGCUUUUUCUGACAUUUUGUGUGUGUGUGUGUGUGCGCUUUAAGUGAAAGUUCAUAGAACAAACUAGUUUCCUGUGUGAUAAGUUUGCACAUAAAGUGUUUCAUGACCUUGGUUUCACCCCCCACAAUGUGUCAGCACUCUCCCCAUUUCCGCCCUGGUUUCCUCAUUUUCUUUCCUCCUGAUUUUCUACCUCUUCCUGCCUUCUCAUCUUUGCUUUUGGGCAGAUAAUGCCUUUUUGAUCUCCUAUAAUUGUUCUAUUGAGUACGUUCCUCUCCCCUGUUAACUGUUGAUCUUAAAUGUGCCUGUCUAUUGUUUGACUGGGAGGUGGUCUCUGGGAAUGGCUUCCUUUCCAGGUCAGAAGGGUAUCUUAUGGCCAUAGUCUUGGGGGUUCCUCCAGUCUCUGUCAGACCAGCAAGUCUGUUUUUUUUGUGUGUGUUUGAUGUUUUUGUUCUGCAAUUGUCUCCCACUCUGUCCAGGACCCUCUGUUGUGAUCCCAAUCAGAGUAGUUGGUGGUGGUAGCCAGGCACCAUCUAGCUCUUCUGGUCUCAGGGUCAGCCAUGUAGGCUGUGAUUCAUUUGGUCUGUUAGUCCUUUGGACUAAUUGCUCCCUUGAGCUUUUGAUCUCCUCACUCUUCCUCACUCUGGGUGGUAAGAGACUGAUAGUUGUAUCUUACUUAGAUGGCCGCUUGCAAACUUUUAAGGUCCCAGGUGCUACUCACCAAAGUAGGUGGCAGAACAUUGUCUUUUUGUACUGUAUUGUGCCAGUUGAUGUAGAUAUCCCCCAAGUCUGUGGUCCUUCGUUUUCCAGCCUAGGAACUUCAUUACGCAAGGUGUUUGGUUAUGUCUAAGAGAUUUUCUUGACUGUAGCCCUUGUGUGCUCUGCGUAAGCUGUACCUGUAGUCAUGUAUGUAGAAAUAUCCACCACCAAACCUGUAUUUGCCAGUGGCUAUGUUCGCUUAUAUCUUCCCAAACCUCUUGGUGUAUCUAUUUGCCUAUUUGCCCAUUUGUAAAUUGCUUCGCCUCUUUGCACGUUACGUAAAAUACUAGUGCUGCAGGAUUGUCUAAGCUAUAGUAGUUACCAUUGUAGCUCUUUAUUCUUGCAUUCCCUCCAUUGUCCUUUCUUGCCUUGGUCAUGUUGUAUUGACUUUCCCCCAUGUUAUGUAUUGCUUUUCCUUCACCAGUAUAAACUUACGUCUUCUAUCUAAUUGGUAACUUUCCACCCCCCUUCCGUCCCUGGUAACCAUAAAAGUUCUUUUUUUUUCUUCCCCUUUAUGUAAACCUUCUGUUGUUACUUUGUAAUAGUGGUCUCAUACAAUAUUUGUCCUUUUAUGAUUGACUUAUUUCACUUAGCAUAAUGUCCUCCAAAUUCAUCCAUGUUAGUGCCAUGUUUUGUGGAUUCAUUGUUAUUCGUUAUCAUUACAUAGUAUUCCACUGUGUGUAUGUACCACAGUUUGAUAGUCCAUUCAUCUGUUGAUGGGCACUUAGGUUGUUUCCAUCUUUUUGCUGUUGUGAAUAGUGCUGAGGUGAACAUGGGUGUGCAUAUGUUUAUUUGUGCCAUGGCUCUGAUUUCUUCAGGGCAUAUACCUAGGAGUGGAAUUGCUGGGUCAUAGGAUAUUUAUAUUUCUAGAUUUCUGAGGAAGCGCCGUACCAUUUUCCAAAGUGAUUGUACCUUUUACAUUCUCGCCAACAGUGUAUAAGAGCUCCAAUCUGCCCACAACCAUGCCAACAUUUGUUAUUUUCUGGUUUUUUGAUUAGCGCCAGUAAUGUUACGGUGAGAUGGUAUGUGAUUGUAGUUUUGAUUUGCAUCUCUCUAGUAGCUAAUGAUUGCGAGCAUAUCUUCAUGUUUGUUAGCCACCUGAAUGUCAUCUUUGGUGAAGUGUCUGUUCAUAUCCUUUACCUGUUUUUUAAUCGGAUUAUCUUUGUAUUGUUGAGAUGUUGAAGCUUUCUAUAAAUUUUAGAGAUUAGUCCCUUGUCAGAUAUGUCUUAGGUAGAAAUCUUUCCUAGUCUGUAGGUUCCCUUUCGACUCUUGUUUUUCUAACAUUCUUAUCUAAAUUAAGACUUGUUAUAUUCUCUCAUAGGUCUUCAUUCGUUUCCAUUUUAGCAAUUACAACAAUUUGUAGUUAUCUACUUAAAUCUUUGUCCCUACAACUGCACAGCUUAUGGAGCUAAAGACCAUGUUUGUUUUAUUUUUUGCUCUAGUCCCACAACCUUUUACAGUACCUGAUGCAUACCCGUACACCCGUUGCCACUGAGCCAAUUCCGACUCAUAGUAACCCUAUAGGAGAGAGUGGAAUUGCCCCAUGUGGUUUCCAAGGAGUGGUUGGUGGAUUCAAACUGCCCGCCUUUUGGUUAGCAGCCAAGUCCCACCAGGACCCCUACAUGAUGCGUCGUAUGUACUAUUUGUUGAAUGAAUGUGUAGAUGAAUAGAUUCAUGCUACGACAUCUUACCGAAUGUGGUAAAAUAGAAAGUGCUCAGAAAUUGCAAUAAAAAGAGGUGAAUUCUUGGCCCUGUUCUGCCAUUUAUCUACUUUGUAACCUUGGAUAAAUCUCGACCUCCCUGUGGUCCAGCUGCUUUUUCUCUUUAAGUUGGAGUUAAUGAUCUUGACCUACUUCUAGGAAGAUGUUGUAAAGAUAAAAUUAGCCAUUUUUUAGAUAAUGUUCUUUGGAAACCAUGUGAUAAAAUGCCUUCUCAUCUUUAACACCAUUGCCCAGCGAAUGACCAGCAUAGAGUGAAGGGAACUGAAGGACCUUGAUGAGCACAAAGACCUGGGGACAGAGCAAAUGCCAGGCACACGAGGUGUGAGUGUAUGUGGUUGAGGAGGGUGUGCAGAACUGCAUCGGGUCAUCUCCGCCCAUGGCCUGUGAUGAGGGAUGUGGAAAAAGAGUGCUAAUUCUUAGGCUUGAUUACCUUACCAUGUCCAUGUGGAGACCAUGUACUGUAGUGGGAAAACACUCAACUCAGAGAUGUCUUGAAAUACUGUCUGAACCCUACCACUGAUCAGGUCUAUGGCCUUAGAAACAUAUAUAAAGUCUGUUUCUUUGUUUCCUUAAUGUAAAAUUGAAAUGAAAAUAGUAAUGUUCUUGCCACUCUUCGAGAAGGAUUGAAUGAAAUAAUGUAUGUAAAAGUUCUUUGGAAAUGCCUAAUAUAUGAGGAAAGUAGUGUUGAAAAUUGUGCAAGAAUUAAUUCAGUAACUGUCCAAAGUGCCUCCUUGGCACACACUGAAUACAUAAAUUCCUUGGUAAUAAUUUUAGUUGAAUUUUUUCAUUUGCAGUUAGAGUACCGUGAACACUGUAACUAUUAUAUGUGGAUUUAUAGAGCCCUUUUUUGGGGGAAAAGAAUUUCCACACUUCCUGAUUGGUCUGAGGGUAGUAUAUUUUGAUCAACACUGAGCAAGAGGGUGACUCUGACUGUAUUUGCAUGGUGACUGCUACAAUGUAUGCAAAUGUAAUUAUCCUUUUCAGCACAGGGCAGUGGUGCAUGUAGGAUAUAAAGUAUCUGGUUGGGAGACUGAGCUGGGAAAUAUGCCUCCAGCUAAUGCCAUUUUUGUAGACUGCCUAUUGACAUCAGUUGAUUUUAAAGUGUACCAAAAGUGGGAAGAUUCAGUCUAUGUCAUUUAUAAAAUUCAUCUUGAUGCCAGACGAAUUAAAAUAUUAAAAGCAGGCCUUAGACCGAAGGACAUGCCCUGCCUUGUUGCCCCUGUAGGUAGGGCUGUACCUUAGUGACGUGGGGAGGUAAAGGCAGGCUGUAACGCAGCAUCUAAAAUUCUGGGCACUUCCUUACUUCCCUCAGAACAUCUCUGUUGAUGGUACUGUGGCCUCAUGUUGCUUUUGACAUCGUAGUACUUCUUUGUUACGAAUUAAAAUGGCUUCUGUAGGUGUGUGACUUUAGGCUUGAGCAGAAGAUCUUUGAAGUUGUGAUCUUCCACUUCACAUCUUUAUACUUUGCCUAAGAAAUUUUGAUGAGAUUGCAGAAGCCAGCAUCUUAUUGUUAAGUUGAUGGGAAAACAUUUAGCAAGAAACUAAAUACUGCAUUUGUUUCCAUAGAUCUAGGUUUUAAAAGCUUGAUAAGAACUGAUAAGAGGAUUUUAUAAAUCCUGGAAAUUAAUAUUAAAUUCCGUGCCCCACCAUGAAAGUUAUAUAUGCUACAGAUCUGCCUUGUGUCAUCCAUAUGUAUUCUUUUGUGUGUGUCUUUUUGUAAUUGAGAUAUAAUUUACAUACCAAAAAUUCACUUUUUUUAAAUUCAGUGGUUUUUAGUACACUCAUAAGGUUGUGCAACCACCACCAUCUAGUUACAGAACAUUUUUAUCACCCCAAAAGAAACCCUGUGCCCACUAGCAGUCACUCUCCAUUCCCUCCACCCUCCUUGCCAGUAGCACCCAGUAAUCUGCUUUCUGUAUCUAUGGAUUUGCCUAUUCUGGACAUUUUGUAUAAAUGCAGUCAUCAAAUAUAUGGCCUUCUAUAUCUGGCUUCUUUCACUUCACAUAAUGUUUUGGAGGUUUAUUUAUAUUGUAACAUGAAUCAGUACCUCAUUUUUAUGACGGAAUAAUAUUUGAUUGUAUGGAUUACCACAUUUUGCUUAUCAGUUUAUCAGUUGACGGACAUUUGGGUUGUUUCCACUUUUUGGCUAUUAUGAAUAAUGCCGUUAUGAACAUUUGUGUACAACGUCUUGUGUGAACAUAUGUUUUUAGUUCUUUUGUUUAUAUACCUAGCAGUGGAAUUGCUGGGUCAUAAUGAUAACUUUUUAAGGAACUGCCAAACGAUUAUCCAAAGUGACACACCAUUUUACAUUUCCAUCAGCAAUGAACAAGGGUUCCAAUUUCUUCAUAUCUUUGGAUGUCUGAUUAUAGUCAUCCUAUAUUGGGUGUGAGGAAACCCUGAUGGUGUAGUGGUUGAGUGCUACGGCUGCUAACCAAAGGGUCAGCAGUUAGGAUCUGCCAGGCGCUCCAUGGAAACUCUAUGAGGCAGUUCUACUCUGUCCUGUAGGGUUGCUAUGAGUCGGAAUCGACUCGACGGCACUGGGUUUGGUUUGGUAUUGGGUAUGAAGUAUCCUUUUAAUUUAUAUUUUCCUAAUAACUAAUGAUUUUCCGAUUCAAUAUCAUUAAUAUCACACGCAAGCAAAAUUUUUCUGAAGAUUAUUCAGAAAACAGCUGCAGCAGUAUAUUGACAGGGAACUGUCAGAAAUUCAGGCUGGUUUCAGAAGAGGAUGUGGAACCAGAAAUAUCAUUGCUGAUGCCAAAUGGAUCCUGCUGAAAGCAGAGAAUACCAGAAGGAUGUUUACCUGUGUUUUAUUGACUGUGCAAAGGCAUUCGACUGUGUGGAUCUUAACAAAUUAUGGAUAACAUUGGGAAGACUGGGAAUUCCAGAACACUUAAUUGUGCUCGUGAGGAACCCUUAUAUAGAGCAAGAGGCAGUUGUUCAGACAGAACGAGGGGAUACUGAUUGGUUUAAAGCCAGGAAGGUGUGCGUCAGGGUUGUAUCCUUUUACCAUACCUAUUCAAUCUGUAUGCUGAGCAAAUAAUCUGAGAAGCUGGACUAUAUGAAGAAGAAUGGGGCAUCAGGAUUCGAGGAAGACUCAUUAACAACUUACAUUAUGCAGAUGAUACAACCUUGCUUGCUGAAAGUAAAAAGGACUUGAAGCACUUACUAAUGAAGCUCAAAGACCACAGCUUGUAUGGAUUGCACCUCAACAUAAAGAAGACAAAAAUCCUCACACUGGACCAGUGAGCAACAUUAUGCUAAACAGAGAAAAGAUUGAAGUUGUCAAGGAUUUCAUUUUACUUGGGUCCACAAUCAACACCCAUGGAAGCAGGAGUCAGGAAAUCAAAAGAUAUUGCACUGGGCAAAUCCACUGCAAUAGACCUCUUUAAAGUGGUGAAAAGCAAAGUUGUCACCUUGAAGACUAAGGUGCGCCUGACCCAAGCCAUGGUAUUUUCAAAUGCAUCAUAUGCAUGUGAAAGCUGUACAAUGAAUAAGGAAGACCAAACAAGAAUUGAUGCCUUUGGAUUGUGGUGUUGGUGAACAAUAUUGAAUAUACCAUGGACUGCCAAAAGAACAAACAAAUCUGUCUUGGAAGAAGUACAACCAGAAUGCUCCUUAGAAGUGAGGAUGGCAAGACUGCGUCUUCCAUACUUUGGACACGUUGUCAGGAGGGAUCAGUCCCUGGAGAAGGACAUCAUGCUUGGCAGAGUACAGGGUCAGCGGAAAAGAGGAGGACCCUCAGCGAGGUGGAUUGACACAGUGGCUACAACAAUGGACUCAAGCAUAGCAAUGGUAAGGAUACGCAGGACUCGGCAGUUUUUUGUUCUGUUGUGCAUAGGAUCGCUAUGAGUCGGAACCGACUCGUUGGGACCUAACAACAAUAACUGCAAUAACUAAUGACAUUGAGCAUCUUUUUAUGACAAUUUGUAUCUCUUCCUUGGAGUAAUGUCUGUUCAAAUCUUUUGUGCAUACAUCCUUUAAAAAUUUAAUCUCGACAUGAAGUCCCCUGUGUGUUCCUCAGCCUAGGAACCAACCUAUCUUCCUCCCGUCUUCCCUACCCUAUCCCAUUUAAAGACCCUCUUGUCUUAUUGCCAAAGCAAGAAACGUGGGAAUCCUCUCCUCUCACCCUUUCAGCACGUCUAACCUGUUACAAUGUCCUGUAGAUUCUCCCUCCUUAGUAUCCCUCAGCUCCAUCCUUUCCUCCAUUCCCACUGUCACCGCCUUGCGUCAGACUCUCCUCCCAUCCCUUCUGGACAACUGGAAUGAUCUCCUCACUAAUCUUCCUACCUACAGCAUGUCUCUCAUCUCUCUUCUAUGCUAUCUGCAGCAAACCUGAUGGCUGAAAAUCCUUCCAGGGUUCCCCAAAGCCUGUAGGCUAACAGACUUGUGAAGGUAGCCCACGAGUCCCCAGCUCCUUCCCUUUUUAUGUGUCCAAAAUUUCCUCAAAACAGACUUCAAUAAUAGGGAACCCAAGGUUGAGAAGGGAGAGUGUUGAUUUGUCAUGGCUUGGUAACCAAUGUCACAAAACAAUAUGUGUGCUAACUGUUUAAUGAGAAGCUAGUUUGUUCUGUAAACCUUCAUCUAAAGUACAAUUUAAAAAAAAAAAAAAGGUUUAAGAUUGGCUUCUCUGGAUGCCCUCUCUGACGUGGCAUCUCCUUCCCAGUCAGGUUUUGUGUUUUCCUUGCCUCUGCACCUACAAUACCUGCCCAUACUUUUGCCAUAGCACUUGCCUUACAGUGUUCUGUAAUAAUUGUGGGAUUUUUGUAUUGUUUUAUAUUUGUUGUUGUUUUUCUAUCUCAAUACUUUUGGUAGUUUCUGGUAUAUAGUAAACGCUCAAAUAUUUAUUCAACAAAUAGCCACCUAAGCACCCAUAAUGUGCCAGGCCCUGUGCUGGGUAUUCAGGUUGUCCAGACAUGGUCCUACCCUCUAGAUAAAGGUAGUAUAAGGCAGCUUGUAAAGAGUGAACAGAAGGCAACCCAGAGAAGAGUCUAGAGCAGGAGUAGUCCAGCAAAUGGUACGUGUUUGAAAGCCUUGAAGAAGAAAAUACCAUGGGGUGUCUGAAGACCUGAAAAAAGGACAGUGACUAGAAUUGGAAGGCGUACUCUCCUGCCUGGUGAUAAGCUCAUACAGGGGUUUUAAGCCAGGUUAAGGAACUUUAGAUUUAAUCCCAAGUGCAUUAAGAAGCCAUUGAAAGAAUUUUGAGCAGGAGAUAGGAUCCUGUUUUAAGAGAGAUCUUGUAUAUAGUGAUUGUUUUAGAGGGUGGUGGGGGUAGAAGUAGGGAAGCAGCAUACAGAUAGCAUGAUAUAGUGGUUAAGACAUGGAUUCUGGGUUCAAAUCCUGUCUGUGUUACUGUGUGAUCUAGGGCAAGUUACUCAGCCUCUCUGUGCCUCAGUUUACAAUCUGUAAAAUAGAAUCAUUAAUAUUACAUGCAUUUUUGAGUUCUGAGGAUUACACUAAUAUAUGUAAAGUAUUUAGAACAAACCUUGGCGCAAAUUAAAAAUUAAAAUUCAAACACAUUAUCUGCGCUGAGAUUAGUUGUUACAAAAACAGCAAAUUGUUCAACCAAAAAAAACCAAACCUGUUGCCGUCAAGUCGAUUCCGACUCAUAGCGACCCUACAGGACAGAGUAGAACUGCCCCAUAAGGUUUCCAAGGGGUGGCUGGUGGAUUCAAACCACCAACCUUUUGGUUAGUAGCUGUAACUCUUAACCACUGCACCAUCAGGGCUCCCAAACAGGGGUCAGUAAAUUGAUGUUGAAUGGAUGCCAACCUAGUUUUUUAAGUUCAGCUGUUGAUUUUUUUAUUCAGAGGAGGGGUUGGGUUGGAAAGUGUUGCCUUUAGCCUGGUUUCCUCUUCACGGCCAGAACAGUGCAGAUCUUACCAGGAGAAGAUGCAGGCCGUGACUUCAGCCCAGUCAGUGGUGCAGGAAGAGCUGCUCUGACGGCAGUGGCAGGAAGCAGGCACCAGCACAGGACCCACACGUUCAAUGUUACCUGCUCCUUAAAGGGACUAUAUAUCAUGAAUCCCUUUAUUUCUGGAUUCAGUUUAUGGGAAUGUAUAGUGACCAGAGGAGACCCAUGGUUUUGGAUACCUGCCCUGUAGGAAAUCUGAUUUCCCUUCAGCUGUUCUUGGUAUUAAGGGAAAACUAAUAAUCGUAAUUGCUUUCAGGCCCUGGUACCACACUGGAGAUUCAGGUCAAGGCAGGACAGGAGUCACUGUGCAUUUGGCAGACUUUAGUUACCUACACUGCUCCUACCCUGUUGGGGUCCCACAAUACUAGUACACUUUGUUGGAAGUGGUAAUGUAUUGAGACCAUGAUGGCAAAAUGGAAACAGAACCAGCCCUCUGGAUCCACCCUUGAACAUAAUAUGGGUAUAUUAUGUCAGCUUGUGUGGCGCUCGGGGAGAGGCAGUGCAUUUUGCUUAUAGUACUGCUCUUUGGACAUCAUAAGCAAAUCACAAAAGAAUGAUUGCUUUCUUUGCUGGAUAAAUGUACUCCUAAGAUCUUUCUGGAAGAGGAAGCUGGUUUAAAGUAAUCGUAUCAUCUGUGAUGCUGGCAUAGAGUGUUUCGUUUCCUUGUAUUUAUAUUUAGCACUAAAAUGAGUACGUGGGAGGAGGCAGGAAGGUAAACUCAGGAACAAGGUGGACAAGAGGGUGAGACAAUCAAAGGAGAAAUUUUCACGAUAAAUUUGAAGGACCAUUGAUCUGGUGUAAAAUAGAAUUUUCACCGCUCCUAACAUAUAGUAAAUGACUGAUUAUCUGAAGUGAGCACCGUGGAGAUAAAGGCCUCAGAGCUAUGACUUAGCAGAUUAAAAGUCUGAGCCAAAUUUUAGUGUUCCGUAUCUAGAACCUAUAUUAAUAAUAAACUCUUCAUAAUCAGGAGGCAGAUUGCAAAUUACCAUGCUCUGCCUUGUUGUUUUUUUUUUUUGGCCUUAAGUUCUGUGAGCAUUUGAGGAUCAAGUCAGCUGUUCUGUGCAUUUUUCUGGCUUGUGAAUGACCUGCAGGCAAGGCCGAAACUGGGAGGUAUUUAUAGAAUAAACAUUUGUGGAAUGCCCACUGUGUGUAAACCCUGAGGCAGGAGGGGAAAGGGUAUGGGAACUGGAAAGUACUGCUUAAGUACUGCUUAAGACAGACUUCAAAGGAGCUUGUCCUUUAAGGGUACACGUCACGUCACGGAGUCAGAAUAGAGAAAGGGCAAGGCAGCUGUAUUAGUUAUCUAUUGCUGUGCAAUAAGUUCCCAAAACUUCAUGGCUCAAAACAUAUCUCACAGUUUCUGCAGACCAGGAAUCCGGGAGCAGCAUAUCAAGGUGGUUCUGGCUGAGGGUCUUUCAUGAGGUUGCCAUCCAGAUGUUGCCUAGGGCCAGAGUCAUGUGAAGGUUUGACUGAUGCUGGAGGGACCCCCUUCUGAGAUGGCUUACUCACAUGGCUUGCAAAGUUAGUGUUAGUUAUUGGCAGGAAGCCUUAGUUCUUUGCCAUGUGUCCUCAACGCCAUGGCAGCUGGCUUCCUUGGAGUGAGUGAUUCAAGAGAAAGAGCAAGGAGGAGGCCUUGAUGCGUUUUGUUACUUAGUAACUCACUCUACUGGGCAGUGUUUUGUUCUGUUGUGCAUAGGGUCGUUAUGGGUCGGAACCGACUCGACAGCACCUAACAACAACAAUAACACUUCUGCGAUAUUUUAUAGAAGUAAGUCAUGAAGUCUUGCCCACACUAAGGGAAUUAGGCUCCACCCUUCAAAGGGAGAAGUGUCAAAGAAUUUGUGGACAAAUUGUAAAACCACCAGAGGUGCUCGGUGUGACUUUGGGGAAGUGCCAAAGUCAGUGCUCCAAUCUGGGUGCUGGAAGGGCUAGGAUCCCAGUUUUUUUUUUUUUAAUCCCAAUGGGAUAGAAGGACAUCAGAAGGACAGCGGGCCCUGCUAACAUCAAGGGAUAUAUAAAGAAGCUUUACACUUGUCUCUUUUAUCUUUCCCUCUUUGUAUCUCUGUGCUCUAAUGACACACCCACUCUGGGCCUGACAUGCUAAAUGGACUUCUUGGAGGGGAUACUUGCAGUUCACCAUAGACCUUUGCUUAUAUAAAUACGUGUUAGAAAAAAGGCCCUUGUGCUGAGUUGAAAGUUUAGGAGACUUCUGAAGGAAGUAAGCUGCUACCCAAGAGUCAUUGUGACCAUUCUAGUUCAACUCUUCUUCCAUUCUUCACAUGUAAAAUAAAGAUUUAUUACUGGCCAAGAACAAUUUGGGUGCUCAGUUGAACUUUAUAGGGGGUCUGAAAAAUAUACUUUUCUAUAUUCAUCUCUAACUGGAGAGAGAAUCCUAUUAGAAGUAAGGCCCUUAAUAACCAGGAAGGGAGGGAAGAAAUAAUAAAGGGCCUGAGUAAGUGAUCCAGAGGGAUGGGGUAGGAAUUCAAAUAAGGGUGAGAUCCACAUGGGAAGGUUUGGGAGCAGGUAGGUUAAAACCAGAAGCUGGGCUCUAAAGGAAAUACAGUAUUUGACUAGAUUAGGAGAGGAGGGGGAGGACAUUACAGGUGGGAGGAGGGAGAGCAAUAUGAACGAUUGUGUCUCAAGAUGGCAAUCUGUGGGAUGGUUGGAGGCCAGCUGGCUUGAAUAAAGCAGCUAUUCUGGAGGAGUAGAUCGAAUGAAGACCUUUUGAAGAGCCUGAACCUAUUUCAGAUCCUUGUCAGAUUACUAAAUAUGCUGAAAAGAUAAGAUCUUCUUAGAGGGGGCUUCUUUAUAAUCCCUCCCUGGUGACAGACAUAGUCUUCGAUCUUAAUUAGAGAAAAUGAACAAAAGGAAAAAUAAUCAUCUACAAGAUUUGGCUGUAAGAACGUUCUUCUGAUCCUAAUGUUGUCGUCGUGUGCCAUCGCCUCGGUUCUGACUUAUAGCAACCCUAUGAUAUGACAGAGUAGAACUGCCCGUAGGGUUUCCUAGGCUGUAAACUUCAAGGAAGCAGACUGACACAUAUUUCGUUGACAGGGCAGCUCUUGGGUUUGAACUAUCCACUUUUUGGUUAGCAGCUGAGUGCUUAAGCAUUGCGCAAGCAGGACUCCCUUGACCCUAUUGAGGGGUGGAUAUAUUUCUGAACUACAAGUUCCAUGUGGUCAAAUAUUUGGUAUUGAUGGCAGUUUAUCAUUUUCCAUUGUGAGUGCUCAAAUUACCAUCUUUUACCAUCUUAGAGCCAUGCUUUUAAAAAAAAAAAUAUUGAGACUCAUUAAACUUAGAAAUUAUUUUCAAAGGUGAUGCAGGGGAGACAAUGUAUACCAAUAUGUGCCUUUUCUUGAGGCUUCUUUGGGUCAAAGCCCAUUUCUCAUUGUGGGAAAGGAUGAUUUUACUAAUAUCAUAUUAUUUAAAAAACAAAAACAAAAACCUGUUGCUGCCAAGUCACUUCCGACUCAUAGCAACCGUAUAGGACAGAGUAGAGCUGCCCCAUAGGGUUUCCGAGGAACGACCGGUAGAUUCGAACUGCUCACCUUUUGGUGAGCAGCCAAACACUUAACCAUUUCGCCACCAGGGUUUCCAGUAUUGUACCAGUGUACAUAAAUUGAGCUCUGGUGGCACAGUGGUUAAAGUGAUUGCUAACCAAAAGAUCGGUGGUUUGAAACCUCCAGUGGCUCUGAGGGAGAAAGAUGUGGCAAUAUGCUUCUGUGGAGAUUUACAGCCCUGGAAACCCAAUGACGUUGCUAUGAGUUGGAAUUGACAGGAUGGCAGUGGGUUAAUAUUGUACCAGUGUACUUAAAUCUGUUCUGCUGUUAUGUGAUAAUUGUGGCUUUAAUAGAAGUUAAUUUAUUGUAAACAAAAUUUAAGAACUUGUUUCUCAAAAGGAAAAGAAGAGGGCUAAGGAAUAAAGUACUUAGCCAUUGCACUCUGCUGCUAACCAAAAGGCUGGCUCUUCAAACACACCAAGUGGCUCUGUGAGAGAAAGACCUGGCAAUCUGCUUCCAUAAAGAUCACAAGGCAGUACCUACUACUAGUGAAGAUUGACUUGAUAGCACUCCACAACAACAAGGGAUACAGAGAGGCUCAGAAUUUUUAUUGGUUGAAUGUGCUUUAGGUGGAAGUUUACAAAUCAAGUCAGUCUCUCACAAAAAGUUAUACACACACCUUGCUAUGUACUCCUAGCUGCUCUCCGCCUAAUGAGAAAGCACAUUCCUCCAAGAGGGGUUCAAAUUUGCUAAGUUAAUUUUCCUUUAUAAAUUUUAAUAAGAAAGAAGUUUUCAUAUAAUUCUAAGUAUAUUUUGUUACUGCAAAAUAAAAGUAAAUUGAUUAAUCCAAACUGACAAGAACAAUCCUAAAUAUCAUUGAGCAAGUCUCAAAGGGCACAAAUGACCAGACAAAAUCAGCAAGUGUUUGUUAGCACAGUUCAUAAAUCUCAGUGGUGCACAUGAAAUGUCAGCUGAGCAGCCAGCCACUCCAGGUUCACAUUACCGUAUUUCUUCAAGCGCAAUGCCUAUUCCCGAUUUUUUCACCAAUAUCGCCCCUCAUGAAUUACGGGCCCUGAUUCAAUGGUAAUGUGUUUGAAUUUCUUAAUGUAAACUUGCUCCAUAGAAGAAAUUUCCACCUUAUUUUAUUGCCUCUGCAGAGCCCUGGUGGCACAGUGGUUGAGAGCUUGGCUGCUAACCAAAAGGUCAGCAGUUUGAAUCCACCAGCCACUGCUUGGAAACACUAUGGGGCAGUUCUACUCUGUCUUAUAAGGUUGCUAUGAGUCAGAAUCGACUCUACAGUGAUGGGUUUGGUUUUUGGUUUGGCUUUAUUGCCUCUAGCUAGACCAGGGUUUCUCAAACUCAGCACUAUUGACAUUUUGGGCCAGAAUUCCUUGUUGUGGGAGGUGGUCCUGUGCAUUGUAGGAUGCUUAGCACCAUCCAUGGCCUCUACCCACUAGAUGCCAGUAGCAUCUUCCUCACCUGGUUACAGCAACCAAAAAUGUCUCCAGGUAUUGCCAAAUGUCCCCUGGGGGCUAAAAUCACCCCUCUUGAGAACCACUGCUCUCAACUAAGUGAGAGCACUGGCAUUUUCAUGUGAAAAACAAAAUUAUAACAUUGAUGUGUACAGAUGGAGCUAGAAAAGACCCUUGUGUUCUGCCAUUAGGUGUACAGUUUUCUCUCAGUUUUUAUUUAUCAGGGGCCUCAAUAUUGGAAAAAGUAUUGGAGAUGAAAUUGUUGUUAGGUGCCGUCGAGUUGGUUUUGACUCAUAGCGACCCUAUGUACGAUGGAACUAAACACUACCCAGUCUUGCAGCAUCCUCACAAUUGUUAUGUUUGAGCCCACUGUUGCAGUCACUGUGUGAAUCCAUCUCAUCGCGGGUCUUCCUCUUUUUCACUGACCCUCUAUUUUACCAAGCAUGAUGUCCUUCUCCAGGGACUGAUCCUUCCUGACAACAUGUCCAAAGUAUGUGAGACGAAGUCUCGCUAUCCUCACUUCUAAGGAGCAUUCUGGCUGUACUUCUUCCAAGACGGCCUUGUUUGCUCUUCUGGCAGUUCGUGGUAUAUUCAGUGUUCUUCACUUACACCACAAUUCAAAGGCAUCAUUUCUUCUUAGGUCUUCCUUAUUCAUUGUCCAGCUUUCUCGUGCAUAUGAGGCAAUUGAAAAUAUCACGGCUUGGGUCAGGCACACCUUAGUCCUCAAAGUGACAUCUUUGCUUUUUAACACUUUGAAGAGGUCUUUUGCAGCAGAUUUGCCCAGUGCAAUGCAUCUUUUGAUUUCCUGACUGCUGCUUUCAUGAGUGUUGAUUGUGGAUCUAAGUAAAAUGAAAUCCUUGCUUGACAACUUCAGUCUUUUCUCUGUUUAUCAUCAUGUUGCUUAUUGCUCCACUUGUGAGGAUUUUUGUUUUCUUUAUGUUGAGGCGUAAUCCAUACUGAAGGCUGUAGUCUGAUCAUCAUCAGUAAGUGCUUCAAGUCCUCUUCCCUUUCAGCAAGCAAGGUUAUGUUAUCUGCAUAAUGCAGGUUGUUAAUGAGUCUUCCACCAUUCCUGAUCCCUGAAUUCUGCUGGCUUAUUGGGCAAGAAUAACCUUUGUCAACCUCUGUGACUUUAUUUCCUCAUCUGUCAAAUGAGAGAAUAUCCCUAAGCCCCUUUCCAGCUUUAAAAUGAAACCAUCUUGUGGAUAAUAAAUAGGAGAUCUGCCUUUAUAACUCAAGCCUAAAGUCUUCUCAGUGUUGUGUAGGACUCUUUCUAAGGAUUUGUUCUUUCAUGUAUUAUUUUUCCAAACCCUUCCCCUCCCCCCCCAAAACAAACAAAACCCGUUGCCGUCAAGUUGAUUCUAACUCAAAUGCACUUUCCUAAUAGUACCCAUUUCUUUCCCAAAUAUUAGUUCUUGAAUCUUCCCUUUUGUUUAAUUUGACUGAGGCUAAUAUGUCUUAAAACAACAACAAAAACAACCACAUAGUGCCGGAUUCUUACUUAACAAUUAAACCUAAAAAUGUCUGAAGUUAGAUUUAUAGAGAAUGAUAAUAUAAUUUGCAUAUAUCUGCUUUCUUUUGGAGCAUGCUGAUAUAAUGGAUACAUUUCCUGAAGCAUGAAAGUCAUUCAUUUGAGAAUUCACGUCUGAGAAAUGGAAUGAUGUAAUCAGCAACAUAACCAUAGAAUUAGAAACCCCUUUGUAUUUUGAAUAAGUACCUCUGAAUAGAGAUAUUUGGCUUAUAAAGUCUGCAUAUGUGGAUAACAGGGGUAGUUGAAGUUAUAAUUAUUUUUAUUUGUAUAGCUAUGUAAAGUGGAAUUAAUUUUGUCCAAUGGAAUUUCAGUGAAUUUAAACUUGGAGUAUUUCUUAGAGCUGUAUGAUACUGUCUACUUUGGAGAGGACAAAACUUCAUUAAAAAAUUUUUAUUGAAUUUUCACCAAAGCAUUUUUAAAAAAUUGAAUGAUGUGUGUUAAACGUAACAGUAAAGGACAAAUUGAGGCUUUACUGUAUCUCUGCCUUUUAUAUAUGAGAGAAUGAUUGAAAUUUCUGACUAAUGGAUUUUCUCAGGAUACUUUUUAAAGUUGACUCCAUGAAUCAUGUUUCUAAAUAAAAUACCAAAGUGGCUGAGUUUGUUUUUUUUUUUUUUUACUACUGCUAGGUUUGUCUCGUCAGGGAAGGUAUGUAGCUAUGUGUGAAUUUAUGAAAGCUGUACAUCAAGCUUGCUGGGGUUUUUUACAUUCUUUUUUUUCCAAGUUCCUUUCCAUUUUGCCCUUAAGGAAGUAAUAUUUUAAAAUGUAUGAGCUAUGUCAUAAAAAACAAAAUCUUUGAAAGAGGCAUAAUUAUCAUAUAUCAUUCAUGUAUCUGAAAGCCUUGCAGUUUUGGAUAGAAGGCUCAGAUGCCUUCCCUUCAGUUUGUUACUCUCCGACACUAAUGUCUACUUAAAUCAGAGGGCUAAUGUGUAAUGACCCUGGGUGAUGCAAACAGUUAACACUGUUGUAGGGAAAAAACAACACAAAGUUUAGUAAAGCAAAAAGAAAGUUUUAUUCGGCAUAUAUUCAAAAAGACAAAAGUUGAGAAGUAGACAAGUAUGCUGCCAGAGCUAAUGUCUGCCCAAGUCUAAGGAAAUAUUACAGGGUAAGCAAGAAUGGGAAAACAGACAAGCAAGUUUCACAGCCAUGUUUGCCCGAAUCCAAGGAACAUUGCAGAAUAAACAAGAAUGGGAAAAUGGACGAGCAUGCUGCCACAGACAUGUCUGUCCAUGUCCAGAGAAUAUUACAGAAUAAACAAGAAUGGGAAACUGGACAAGCAUGCUGCCACAGCCAUGUCUGUCCAAGGCCAAGGAAGAUUACAGAGUCAUCAGUACAUAUUAACAUUACAAAUGGGGCAAAACCAAUUAAAGCUUCACCUUUUCACAGAUUGGCUGGAAAUUGUCAUCCUACAUUUUGAAUUGUCUUUUUUAAUGAUCAUUCAUACAGGUUUCAGUAAGGAGGAUCUUCAUUGGUCCAACAAAUUUCUAUUCGCUAUAUGUUAAUAGAAAAAGAUAAGAGUGGAAAGUCUUUUGUGUUCUGGUUUAUGUAAAAAGUUCCCUAGAAGACAUUUUCCAAGAUUAUUCUAUUGUCCUUAUCUCAGGGCCCAAUUGAUGUGUCCUUGUGAGCUCUCAUGAUCCCAACUCCAGCUGGGUCACAUUCUCUACGCUCAUACGCUCAAGGACAGUAUUAUUUCCUAAAUCAACACUCAGCUGCUAACCACAAGGCUAGAGGUUCAGUUCCACCCAGAGAUGCCUUGGAAGAAAAUCCUGGUGAUCUACUUCCAAAAAAUCAGCUGUUGAAAACCCUGUGGAGUAUAAUUCUACUCUGACAGACAUGGAGUUGCCAUGAGUAGGAAUGGACUCAACAGCAACUGAUGAUAUGUAGUAAAAAGCCCUUGUAUCUGUGCUUUUGUGCACAAACCGCUCAGGAAGGUCUUGUCUUCUAGCUAGUAACUCUCGCUGUCUUCUCAUCACUGUCAUCCUCUGACAAGAGCCCCCACUUUCCCUGGGAGGAGUAUGUCUUGGAGGCAGCCACAGACCCUAUCCCCCAAGUGCUUGAACUGCCUUCUUCCCAAUGGAUUCUGUUUAAGGUUUCAUCCUUUUUUUUUUUCAGCAACCCCCACUCUCUGGGCUUUCUGUGAUCCUAGUUCUAUUACUAUUCCAGGUUUAAAACUCCAGAGCAGAGUUUCUCUGCUGUUUGGUUUACUAUAUCUCAGAAGGCUGUAAAGUAACAAUUGGGAAAGUUGAUGACACAUGGUCUAGAUUUGCCUGUAACUGUAUCUUGUUUGGCUAUAAAGUUUUAAAAAAAUCUAUAUAUUUUCCAUAAUAUAGAUUCUUGGCUUCUCUUGAAAUGCCAGAGACUUGGCAACACUGAGCUGCAGUCCUAUAAUCGGGUACAGCUGGGUAUAGCUGUCCCCUAUUAGAAGAGGCACGUGUUCUCCAGUUGCCCACAAUCACCACUUGUCCUCCAUAUACUAUUCUGGCCCAGGAGAUGUUUGCUCUAAGGACUUGAGAUGUGCUGCUUACUUCCAGGAAGUUCUAGCAGUGAUGGUCCACUUCCUCACCUUCCUCUUUCCCUACAACCAUAUGGUUUCUCUUCUGGAAGAAAAAUAUCUACUAUUGGAGUAAACUGGAGAGUAAGCAUGUAUCUGAAUCUACAGAUGUGCUAGGGAAAUGGAGAAGCAACUUGUACAAAGUAGUUACAAAGUCAGUACAAUGAGAAAUAAUUUAACAAAUAGAGGAAGGGAAUGUGAUAAACGUUAGCUGUGGCCAACCCAUUGUUGUCAACUCCAUGUCUGAAGGUUCUGGAGUUUGAAUGAAACUGUUAUCUAGUUAUAGUUACCAGGCUUGAAACUUGUAAAUUUGUUUCGAACACUUAAUUUUAGUGCUUCAUGAUGGCAUUCUGUGAUUGACUGCCACUGGGCCAAGCACUUUGCAGAAGUUCUGUCAAGGCCUGGUAGGAAGGAGCCUGGAAGGAUGUUAGUGAUGGUAGCCCUUAUUCACAGAGAACUUGAGGCUCAAGGCUCAUUUUGCUAGUAAGGGACAAGAUGGAAUUGUAACCCAGUCUAGUUUGACUUAAAACUGUUGGGUUCUCAGCAUACCUCACUGCCUGUCUUAGUAAAUUUCAGAUGUCAUAUCGUUCGUAUCAUACUUCAUUGUGGUUAGGUAGGCUGAGACUCCGUUUUAUGAUCUGGAAGAAUGGAGGUAAUGCCUGCUCUUCCUGCCUCACAGGAUUCUUGGAGUGUUGGUUGAGGUGAUGUACAUGGAGGUGCUGGAUACAUAACGAAGGGCUAAGUAACUAGAAGGGGGUGUAGCUCCAUUUUCCUACAUUUGGUUCAUUGGUGCUAAGCUCCAUCAUUUAUAUGGCCAGAAGCCUUACUAGCAACAAUUCAACCUGCUGUAAAUUAGAGAAGAGGAUACUGGAAUACAGUCCUUUAGAAGGCGGAGGUUAUGGUUUUGGUGUAAAUUCGGUCUUUACCUUUGGAAAGAAGAACACGGAGGUCUGCUCAACUAUUUGGCAGUAAGCUAUAGGAAGAGCAUUAGAUAGGAAUUCAGUUCUUCAUCAUCGGAGUCGUUGCUUUGUGGCCUUGGAAACUUUUCUGGGACACUUUUCUGUAAUCCAGUUUCUUUAUCUGAAACAUGAGACAGUUCAUACAAAUCAUUUCCAUAGUCCCAGCUCUGAUUUUCCACAAUCAUCAAUUAAAGUGACAUUGAGCUGUAUGCCUGUUUUGAUAGUUUCUUGAUUUUUAUGAUGAAUAUUUAUCAAGGCAGCCUUGCAAGGAAUACUUUCAAAGCUUUCAAUUGUUAGUUGCUUUUAACCAUACCCACCACCCCAAAGGACAAACACACUUGCACACUUGCUCAUUUAGCCUCUUGGGUUUAUGAAGAUCUCUGUUAGUGCAUGCUUUUUAUUCCUUUUUAAUUCUGUGUUUCUGACUUCUUGAACGUCAUUUAAGAAGAGAAAGAGAAGCCUCUUGAAGAAAUCCUAGCCAGAGGCUCUCAGCAACAACAGAAGUGCCCUCUCCUAGGAUGAGGGGCUUUGUUCUUUGGGUUCUGAAGGGGCCUGGUGCCAAACUUGAAUGUCAGAUGAUAGCUCUAUUUCUUUUCAUUCAGGUGAUCUACUUCCCAACUUCAGAUAUUUGAACGCACAAUGCUGAAGGCUUUUUCAUUUGUGAUUGUUACAUAAGACAAUGAGCAGGAUGAAUUUGGAAGAGGAAUUAGGCCAUUACUCCACUAACUGGUGUGAAUGAGCAGCUAUUUAGAGCUCAGAUUACUAGCUGCAGAUGUGAAAGGACCAUUUUCUGUGAUUUGCUGAGACAGUUAACUUCCUCCAAAUGUGGACAGUGCUGUUAUUAGAGAUAAGGCAUCACUGCUGUUUAAAAUGCAAGCCACUGCAGGGUUCUUUUUGAAAACAGAAAUUUAAGUGUCUUGGUUUACCUGUGGAGCGGGAAGAGGGACAAAUUUGAACAAAUUACUGAUUAUACAUAGGUAGUUGUGACUUGAAUAUAUUUGAGACUCAGACCUUGCUUUUUAUAUACUAUUCCCCCCAUGUUUUCAGUAUGAAUGCUAAUAAGGAACUAGAAUUGAAGAUCACAUGCUUCCUGGAGGCUUGUUUUCUAAUUAAGUCACUUCCUUAGGAGAAACCUCUCAUGUCCCUUCCAGGGGUAUCAUUUGUAGCCUAUAUUUAAGCAAGAUACUCCUCCCUGGUUAGGGAAUUUUUAUAUUUCCCAGUAUUCAAAUUGUCACCUUCUUGCUACUAACUUAGCUUUUGAUUUCAUGGACUGUGUCAUAAUUUUUGUUUGUACAUAAUCCUUUGAGGCAAAUGAUGACAAAUUACGUGUACCUUUUUAUGUGUGACGAUUAGAGGUUUGAAAGAAAUAAAAUCUUUAAACUGGCUUUUAGAUGAUAUUCUUCCUGAAACGCUAUUAAAAUUUUUUUUGCGCCCGUUUACUGCUGCCCUACCAAUCUGGCAGAGCGUGAGGUAAAACAGCACCUCUGUUUUACCAAAGCAAGUGUUAUAGCUGGGGGAAAAAACUGUCAACAGUCAUUAAAAUAUAUGGUAAUAUUUACUUAUAUCUCCUUAUCUGUUGAAGGCCUUGAGGAAGCUGUAGAUUAACAACCUUUCCUUUCAAUUGAAUAAUACACACAGAGCAAACUACGCUUAUAAGUGUCAGGGAAGGAAGAGUUUUUAAAGUGUGGGCAUACCUGACCGGAAACCGUAGGAAGGGCCGGAAACGUAGGAAGGACCGUUUGCCCACGAUUGCUCCAAGAUCGGGAUGAGGGCAGUGGAAGGGAGAGGUGGCAUAUUCAAAGGUAGUUGCUGCAAAACAAACUUUUAUCAGGGAAGUUGUACAGUCGAUUUUUAAAAACAAAGAAAAGGCUUUCCUAUUCACUACUAAGCUGAGACUGAAUGCAGGUCAGCCUUUCAUUUCCUGCCCAGGUGAAAAAUAAGCAUAAAUUAGCCAAUUAAGUCAACUGUGCAAGAAACUUCUAUCGGUGGCUAUAAUGACAACUAAAUAUAUUCGUUUGUACCUAUAUACAAAUCUUCGGACCGUGCCCUACAGGCAGCACUUAGUACUUUGUGUACAAAGGUAAGUACUGAGUUCUCACCUUUUGGGCUUUUGUUAAUUCAGUGGGAUAGAAAGGUAGCUAAGUAUGUAAUUAUAAUACAUGGUAGUCUGUGGUAGCCCCUGAAAGAGGCAUUGAAUCAAUGGUAGUAUGAGUGAUGGAGAGAUUCUCUGGAGGAAAUUGGAGAAAGAGUUAGGGGAGUGUUUUUUAGAAGAGGGUUUAAAUAGGUCUUGGAGAAAGUGGGAGAGUAUUGGCAAUGUUAGGGACUCCAUCAUUGUAACACUUUUUUUCAUUCUGUAUCGAGUUCACUGCAACUCAUGGUGACCCAUGUGUGUCAGAGUAUUAACUGCACACCAUAGGGCUUUUAAUAGGCUGAAUUUUCUUAAGUAGAUCACCAGGCCUUUCUUCCAAGCAGCCUGUGGGUGGACUUGAACUGCCAACCUUUUGGUUAACAGCUGAGCAUGUUAAUUGUUUGCAUCGCCCAGGGAUUCCCUUCAUCCUAUAGAAUCAAACCAAACCUGUUUCCAUCCAGUCGAUCCUGACUCAUAGCAACCCUAUAGGAUAGAGUAGAGCUGCCCCAUAGGGAUUCUAAGGAAUAGCAGGUGGAUUUGAACUGCUGACCUUCUCCUUAGCAGCUUAGUCCUCUAGUGCUGCUAUAACAAAAAUACUACAAGUGAAUGGCUUUAACAAAGAGAAAUUUAUUUCUUCACAGUAAGGUAGGCUGAAAGUCCAAAUUCAGAGCAUCAGCUCCAGGGGAAGGCUUUCUUUCUGUCGGCUGUGGAAAAAGGUCUUUCUCAUCAGUCUUACCCUGGACCAGGAGCUUCUUUGCACAGGAACCCCGAGUUCAAAGGAUGCGCUCUGCUCCCAGUGCUUCUUUCUUGGUGGUAUGAAACCCCCUCUCUGGUUACUUCCUUUUCCUUUUUAUCUCUGGAGAGAUGAAAGGUGGUACAGGCCACAGCCCAGGGAGACUCCCUUUAGAUUGGAUCAGGGACGGUGACCUGGGUAAGGAUGGUGUUAUAAUCCCACCCUAAACCUCUUUAACAUUAAAAUUACAGUCACAAAAUGGAGGACAACAACACAAUACUGGGAAUCAUGGCCUAACCAAGUUGACGCGUAUUUUUGGAGGAUACAAGUCAAUCCAUGACAGCAGCCAAGCUCUUGACCACUGCACCACCAGGGCUCCAUUGACCCUAUACCAAAACCAAACCCAGUGCCGUUGAAUCGAUUCUGACUCAUAGCGACCCUACAGGACAAAGUAGAACUGCCCCAUAGAGUUUCCAAGGAGCGCCUGGCAGAUUCAAACUGCUGACCUUUUGGCAUAAUAGAGCACACUAAAUUUGCUUGAUUACUAAGUGCUGCUCCUAUUACCAAAACUUUGCAUUUUUUGUUAUCAAAACAUUGUAACCUUUUAUAUCAUGCAUUCUCAACAGGGAUGUUAACACCUCCAAGUGGGCAAAAAUUGUUUCUUGGGGGAGCGAGAAAGCCUCAGAGGUUACAAUGGUUUGUGGCCCUUCAAGGCUCAGCCUUAUCUCACAAAAUCUUUUUUCUUCAGAAUUUAAUUUCUCUUGUUAGAAUUUAAAUUAAGUUUAAUUUUUCUCCUUAGGGAGUCAGUAAUGAAAAAAAGACUAAGAAAAACUAUUUUAGAUGAUUUAUGACCUCUCAUGUUUAGGUGUGAAGUGGCACUUUAUUUAAAAAUCUCAGAAAUUUUAUGAUAAGCAUCAUGUGGCUUAUAAACAUGGUUUAUAUAAAACCAUGUAAAACACAUGGUUUGCCCCCCCAGUCACUUCUUUAACAUCAUUUUUGUUAACAUGAAUCAUUUGAUGUAAUGCAAAUUAUAUUGAAUAAGAAGAGUGCCCUGGUGAAUGCUAUUAAAAGCUAUUACAAAGGCUGUUGAUAAAAGUAGCUAAUAAUCUAUCCAUUAGGACACAUUGUACUUAAUAUUUUGAGGGAGAGAAAAACCACAAAACUGCUUCUGUCUGAGGUCUAAAUAUGUAACAGAACAUUGGAAGAGUAAAAACAUGAAUUUGCUAUUCACUAUAUUAUUUUUUCAUUUUAAUAAUUUAUUUAAAAAAAGAUUCAUAGAAUUUUUUCCAUGAGGAUAGUGGUCCAUUUUGGGGCCUAUAGCAAAUGUGGACUGGGACUUAUUUUUUAAAAAUGGGUCAGCCCAAUCCAAAACCAAACCCAUUGCCAUCAAGUUGAUUCUGACUCCUAACUGACCCUGUAGGACAGAAUAGAACUGCCCCAUAGAAUUUCCAGGGAGGAGCUGGUGGAUUCAAACUGCCGAUGUUUUGUCUAGCAGCUGAGCUGUUAACCACUGCACCACCAGGGCUCCAAAAAUUGGUCAAAUGGGGCCCAAAAAUAAGUUUGAAGACUCGUGACAAAUGGAUAAUGGUAUGUACAUAUUCAUUAAAAAAAUAUUCAUUAGUCACUGCAUAAACACUGUUUUAUGCAAGGUGCUAUGUGGGGUGCAUGCCUGCCCUAAUGAAACUUAAACAUUUGAGUAAAAGCAGUAACAUGUUAUAUACGUGAAAUAGCAAAUGUAUAGAGUAUGGAGGACUGAAGGAACCCUUAACAGAACUUAAGUAGUUGGCUGCUAAGGGAAAGUUCGGCAGUUUGACCCCAACGACCACUCCGCAGGAGAGAGAUGUGGCAGUCUGCUUCCUUAAAGAUUUACAGCUUUGGAAACCCCUGGGGGCAGUUCUACUCUGUCCUGUAGAGUCUAGCAGCGAGUCAGAAUCAACUCAAAGGCAACAGAUAUGCAGAUGGAUGAAGGGGAAAGUACAAAGAGCAAGCUGAGUGGUCUAAUUUGGAGAAAAGAAGGUUGAGGAGGUGCACCAAAGGCAACAGCAUGAUAAAAUGAGCUUGAACUUCAGCAUGAAGGGACCUCCCCCCCAAAAUGCUGGACAUGCAAUAAGUGUUGAACUCAGACCAAAAAUGGUUUGAUCUAUUCUUGAGGUAUCAGCAUAAAGGCUUCAAGAGAGUUUCCAAUUUGGAUUCACUUAUAAAAAGGCCUAGGAGGAUGAAUUGGUAGUAAGAAACUCACUAAAAACUGAUUGGAUGUAAAUUCUCUCAGUCUCUUCCACAAACUUCCCUCCUAAAAUGUCUUCAAACCUCCCAGAAUGCAUAGAAUCAUUUAGUAUACAGGCAGUCCCUGGGUUAUGAACAAGAUCCAUUCAUAAGUGUGUCUUUAAAUCAAAUUUGUAGGUAAGUUGGAACAGGUGCAUACAGUUCUUAUAUAGCCUUACUUUAUUUACUGCAAGGAAGGAAACCCUGCUGGUGUAGUGGUUAAGAGCUACGGCUGGUAACCAAAAGAUUGGCAGUUUGAAUCCACCAGGCACUCCUUGGAAACCCUACGGGGACAGUUCUACCCUGUCCUAUAUGGUUGCUAUGAGUUGGAAUUGACUCGAUGGCAAUGGGUUUUACGCAAGGAAAGGCUGAAGUCUUUUCAGUGAUUUAAAAGCUGCACCUGCAACAAGUGUAGGGGAUUGUGAUGAAGAAUUUGUUGAGAGUGAGGGUUGGUUCAGUCAUUUCAAAGUGAGGGCAGAUUUACAUAACAUUAAAGGGCAAGUAUAAGUUGUCGGUUUCUGUUCUCUGUAAAUCCGACGUUAGUAACCUGGGGAUUUACUGUAUAUGUUACUAAAAUGCUUAUGUAAGUAUAUUUUGUAACAAAUCCGUUAUUUGUAAAAUGCCUUAAUUAUUUCUUCUGUUCUAGUUUUUUUUUUUUUUUUUAGUUCGUAGACGGAAAAUUAUUAAGUCAAGCAACUACAUUUAGAGAGAUACAAAGGAAAUAUGAAAGAUACAGUACUCAUGCAACAAGAAUCUACCUUUAAAAAAUCAGAGCCCUUUACUUUCAGGUCUAGAUAUGGCAAGAAACUUCAGAUCCAAUCCUCUGAAAUUGGAUCUGAUUAAAGAAAAAAAAAAUCUUAGGAAGCUUUUUUUGUGAACAGAUUUUGUCUCUGGGGUGAUUUAUAGUGUUGGUUUUUAUUAUAAGAAUAAUUAUGGUAAUAAAAAAAAAAAAACCUAGUGCUUAUUUUAAAAUAAGCUUUUUUUAAAAAAACAACCAGGAUUAUUUGAUUAACAGCUGCUUUCCUUUCUGUUGCCUUUUAUACCUAACCAGUUAUCUUUGCUCCCACUCAAAUACCAACCACCAAUCUUCUUGUCUUUGCUCUUAACUGAAGCAAGAGAAGAAGGGAAGUUAUGAAUUUCGUCCAAGAUGCCUUGGGACCGCUCAAGGGGGCUUAUAUUAUGUAUCUAGUUUCUCAGAGUAGUAGCAUUCCUUCACUCCUGACUUGUUAAAUAUUUGGGUACCUUCUUUACGCCAGCCGUUUUGCUAGGUGCUAGAGAUGCUGUAGUAAACAAGACAGUUCUUCUUCCCUCUGCCUUGUCUCCUCAGUACACUUUAAACUCUUGUCUUUCACAAGGGUGGCAGCAGUAAGGAAUUACAUGAUUCCAGAUGAGUUUUCCAUGCCUUUGAGUCUAAUCUGACAUGUGAAGAUUUGUAAGUUGCUCUAAUAUGUGAUAGACACGUUAAAUUUAUCUGUAGCCAAUUUAAGGAAAGACACAAAAUAAUUCUUAGGUAAUUUAAUAGCAUAGCUGUGGAGAUGAAAUAGAUUAUUGGAACAAAAUAACCAUAUAUAUGAUAACCUGUGAAUUUGUAUGAUCCCUCCAGCUCUUGUGACCUCCCAGGCUCCUUAAUACAAGUGUUGCUUCACUUUCUAAGGUAUCAUUUUUGGUGUGAUGGCAGAUACGGUGUCAGAUCCUACUUGGCAUCAGUUCUUUUUAAAAUUGUUGACAAAGAUUCCCUCUUGAAAAUGAACUUGGGACACUUCCAUAUCCAGCGAAUAUUUCCUCCCACCCGAAACAAGCCAAAAACAAAACACCAGACCAAAUAUAUGAAGCAGUGGUUUUGGGAACACUGGCCAUCAGGCAGCAAAGGACAGUGAUCUCUGUGAGAUGGGAAGCAAAUGAUGCGAGCCCUACAAUUGCCCUAGCUUUGUCCUGAGAGAAGGGGCGCCAGUGCAACUGCACGAACUCCCUGAGUUGAAGAGAUGGAGCUGAGAGUCUGUGGAGACCAAGGACAGUAGAUUACACAGAACCGGUACUGGAGAAGAUAUAGUUACACAGAGAGCUCCAGAGAUAUGCAGAGAGUAUCCCUCAAGUAGUCAGCAGAGUUCUGAUCAGCACACUAAGCCUGAAGAAGAAACCGUCUGAAAGGAUUACAGGUAAUAGUUCCCAAUGUUCAUACAGAGCCAAAAAUAGUGCCUGUGCCCACCAGUCAAACUGGAAAACCUCAUAAUUCAUGGAGCAUCAACUAGAGUACUCACGAGGACCUUUCCGUUAAAAACAAACGAACAAAAAAAAAAACCGGUUGCUCUCGAGUUAA